GUUGGUUCUACCCGAAGGUGGUGCGCUAACCGCAAGGAGGCAGCCGGCCACGGUAGGGUCAGCGACUGGGGUGAAGUCGUAACAAGGUAGCCGUAGGUGAACCUGCAGAAGGAUCA
rnacentral:rRNA from 1 species